rnacentral:rRNA from 1 species
GGUUGAUCCUGCCAGUAGUCAUAUGCUUGUCUCAAAGAUUAAGCCAUGCAUGUCUCAGUGCAAGCUAUACUAAAGUGAAACCGCGAAUGGCUCAUUAAAUCAGUUAUGGUUCCUUAGAUGAAAGACAGUUACUUGGAUAACUGUGGUAAUUCUAGAGCUAAUACAUGCAACUCUGUCCCGACCGGAGACGGAAGGGACGCUUUUAUUAGAUCAAAACCAAUCGGGCCCUCGGGUCCGUUUGCCUUGGUGACUCUGAAUAAAUUGUGGCAGAUCGCACGGUCCAAGCACCGGC